UGGUCCUGCUCUGAGCAGGGGGUUGGACUGGAUGACCUCCUGAGGUCCCUUCCAAUCCUUAUAUUCUAUGAUUCUAUGAAUAGACCCAGGAGUGCUGCUCCCUCCCAUCUCUGGGUAAGUUCGAGCUGCUAUCCCCCCUCCCUCUUGCACAGCUUCAUAGAGAUGCAGUUGAAUUUACAAGUGUAUCCCACUUAGGUCAGGAAAAUAAGGGUUAAAGGAACACAGUAGUUUCUCUGAGGUAAAACAGCCUCAGAAAUCAAUGUUAAGGUUACACUUAAAAUGCCCAAUGCCACCAGGCAUUAAGAAGGAAUCCCAGUUAGUUAAGGCCACUCCUUGUAUCCCAUGUGCUUUCUGGGUAAGACUGUCCUGAAUGUCUUGCUAUCUGGUAAACUAUCUACAGCCAUUAGCAUAAUUCCUGGCCCUUUCUCUUUGACUUUCCGUAGCUGUGAAAUCCUUGCUAUCCCCAAGUCAAAAUGAGCAACCCCCCCCCCCCCCAGCUAUCCCAGAGUCAAGUUGGGUCCCCACCCUGCCCCCACUCCAGCACAGCUUAUUUCUCAGGAAUAUUCGGUUUAAAAUAUAUCUGUACAUGCCAAGCUGCUCAGCUCCUAAGCCUGGCUCCUCCACCUGGUGCUUGUCUGCAUGCUGCCUGCUCGCCUUUGUUUAUGGAUGUUGGGUAUUUUUAACCCAGCCUUCCAAUUCGAAAUUGUUUCUCUGUUCAUACUGCUCCCCACCCAUCUCCUGUCUGAGAUCAGCGGGAGUGACAAAGGGCUGCAAUCCUCGCCCCGUGGGGGUUCAUUGGGCAUUGAAACCUAACCUCAGGAUACACACCAUGCCACUCCCUGGAAGCCUGGAUACGGUAAGCCGCCCAGGGGUGAGUCCACACUCCCUGACUGUCCAAACACACCAGCUUGUAGCAACAUAGCUGGGGAAUCACGACUACAUGGGAUCACCAGUUAACUCCCCAUGGAGAAGGGACACAGCUGCUUUGGAGUUCUAGCAGCCCAGUGGUCAUUGCAGCCCAGAGGAUGUAGCAGCUGUCACCAAGCAGCACUCCUUGCAUGCCACAGCCUGGAGGGGUCUGUCCCCGUGGGGCAUCCCUGAGUGAAAACUCAUUAAUGCAGGCUUGGUGCAAUGGGGGAGGAUUCAGCCCUUGGGGAUCACACUUAGAGAUGGCCUCAAAACGGGUGCUCUGAACUGUACUCCCUGAACUUUGGAUUCCCUUUGGCAACAACAAAAGCCAUCUGAUAAGGUUUUGCAAAAGCACAACUGGCAUCAUCCUUGUUUUUGCCUGCUUGGCCCAUAAUGACCCCACGGGCCCCAGAAAAGCCCAGGUGAGGUGAGGAAGCUGCAGCUUGCACAUGGUGUAUACAAUGGAUGCUCUUCCCCCCUGAAAAACCAGCAUCUGUUUUGAGAGAUCAUGCCCCACAGGCUGGCAGCAUAGCCCUGCAGUUUCCUUUGGCUUAGUUCACAGCCAGCUCCUCUCUCACCCACCCCUUUCCCCAGCAAACCACAGAGUUGCAAAUUACAAGGCCAGCUGGUCAUUAUCACACUAGGCUGCUCAGUUCCCAGGGCCAUGAAGUGCCUGGGAGAGGGCACUGAUUCUCUAAAGCCAUAUCCUGACGACCAGGCUUGCCAGCAAGCAGGAGCUCACAGCCCAUCUGGGUUCCCGAGGCCCCCAAGGUUCCUUUUCCUCUCUCAGGGGUGUGGAAUCAGGCAAGAAAGGGGUGCUGCUAGAGUGCAUCUUCUUUCAGAACGUACGUUGCUAUAUCCUGAAAAUUCUCUGGCUCCGUGGGACGCCCUUCUAGAGGAGCAAGCAGCACUGUCAGUAUUAACAGCCCUGGCCUUUGAAACAUCCUCUAGUCUUCCAAGGGAUUUCCUGCUGUUUGGGGUGAACUUCACUGAACAAUGCUGAGUUCCUGUACAAUAGGCUGUGCACAUCCUUGUGAGAAAGGUACCAGGUGGGUGAGGAAACAUCUUUCACCGGCAGAAGUUGAGCCAAUAAAAAAGAUAAGUGUUUGAGCUACACGGAGCUCUUCUUCAGCUCCAAGAAAGAUACUCCAUGUACUUUUGUUGUCUCUUUUUGACAAGUUUCCAGCUAGGUCUACUUUCAGAGCCUCAGGUGAUAGGCAAAGUAUUAGUUUCACAAACAGCUAGGGAGCUAUUGCCAUUUGAAACAGGUCUGGGCCUGGCAUGAGCCAGGGUAUAUACAGAGGAGAAUGCAGUCAAAGCGCCUUCUGUAUGUUUUGAGAGAGAGAAAUUCUGACCCUGUGUCCAGCCUGCAAACUCCCAGCUCUCCCCUUUCAAAGGGCUGGCACAGUAUGCUGUGUAUCGGCAUUCCCCAGAACGAAGGGAGAGCGCGAAAGGUGAGGGCAGGAAUGGAAAAAUAAAACGCAUGGAGGGCAAGGUGUUUUGGUUGGCUGUGCUACUCCCCAAACAAUGUGAUGGCUACAAGCUGAGGCUCUCCGAGGCUUUGUUAAUAAACAGGCACUCCUUAAUUCCUCUGAUCCAAAGGCGUUCCACGCAUGGGAACACGGUACUGAAUCGUAAAUAGCCCCCUCAGGGUCACGAGCAAGGCUGGGGCUGCGUUUCAGUAGCCUCUGUGCCCAUCAGUUAGGGGAGGUGAAGGGGCCAGGGUGAGAUUUGACCCGCUUCUGCAGCAAUAGACAAAUGUAGCCAGGGACCCCUGCAGCCAGCAUCAUGCGUCCGCAUUGCCCUGGCUCUGCCUGUACAGACCAGACCAGCACCCUCAUUGCCUGAUGAAAGGGACUUGCAGGAUAAGUGCUGGACCCUGCAAAAUGAGCAUCCCUCAGGAUCAGCCCCUGAAACAGGAACCAUCCUGCCUUCAACGGGAUCCUAGUAGAUGGAGACUGUCCUCCUGCAAGAGUAGGAUCUUCUAGUCCCUCUGAUAAACGGUGCAUUGGAUAUGGGACACGGCUUUGGCUUGAGGCAUUGUGUCCGGCUGGUGAGAAGCUAAGCUGGCUUUGCUGCAGGGGUUUUAGCACAGGGCUGUCGAUCUCCCUCAGGAAGAAUUUCUUCCAGCUCAGGAGCUCCCUCUUGUGUCAAUAGCAAGUUGUUAUACUCGGCUCCCCGAGCUGGCAUUCCUCAGUAAAUCCGAACUAUUGCAUGUGUUUCAAAUGAUUUAAGGGCGAAGGGGGUUCCAGGAUAGCUAGCCCCAGCCUGUUAGGGAUGGAAAUAAUAGUGUUGCCUUCUAAAUGAGCCCAGAGGGCUGUUUAAGAUGCCAGCAUCUCCCCAACUCAGCUGCAUUUGAAAUGCACAAACAGCAGUAUUACGGUAGUGUCCCGAGGCCCCAGCUGAGAUUUGGGCCCCGCCGGGCUAGGUGCUGUGUAUACACGUGGUAAGGGCCGCUCUCUCUUCUCCGAAGAACUUACAAGACACAGGGGAGGAAAGGCAACAGGCACCAAGGGGAGGUGACUUGCUCAAGACAGCAGUUGAGCGGGGAACAGAACGCAGGUGUCCUGAUGCCCUGAUCACGGGAUCACGUUUCCUCUGCACCGUGCUGUAUAGUAACCCCCCCACCCCCCUGGUUUACAAUACACUAUGCAGAGUACUGUGGGUCACUGCUCCAGAACAUCAUGCUAGUGGUCUUAAGGUCACCUGCCUCAGGCAUGCAUGUUAUAGGGUUAGUGUGUCAAGUGCAUUGCAUGUCUACAGGGCUAGAUAGUGGUAAAGUAUUGAUGAUUUAUUAUCUGAAUGGCAACACCUGCUUCCAAGUGGGAGGUCACAGAGGGUUCAGCAGUGUGUCCGCUAAGGGAUUUGGCUAAAAUCACCCCCGUUGCUCCCUGGGUUUGGCGAGUGCUAGGUCAGACAGGGCUCCAGGCAGUGGCUAGCUCCAAGCAGGGGUCUGUGAUUCUGUGUCACUGGCUCCUGGCCCACAGCGGAUCUUCCACUUUCCCUGCAGCAGCAGGGAAUUCGAGUGCAGCUGAGGGCCAGGAGAUGCAGUGCUGAGGAGAGCCUGAAUCCUGCCUGCAGGAGGGCUGGGCGCUUUCAUGCCCCUGUUGUGCAGGGGCACCCUAAGAGAUCUGCCCCACUGGGGUUGUAAGCCUCUCCCCACUCAGGGACAGAAGGAUCCUUUGAGCUCGUGAAGUGUCCUCAAAAUACUUCAGAGGCGUUGAGGCAGCAGCUCCCUGUUAGUCACACUUGGCACGAGGGCUGUGUUCCAGAGCCCACUGCAGGAGCUGAUGUUCCACGGAGCCGUGCGACAGGAGCUGCGAGGGCUGCCAGAGCACGGGGAUUCCCUUUCAUCUGUGAUCUGAGAUCUCCAAACGUUUUACACACACGAGGCUUCACAACGUGCUUGGCAGUGCUUAGGAGCCCCAGCCACAGACCAGGACCCAACUGUGCGAGGCUCUGAACAAACAAAACCAAAAGAUGGUCGCUGCCCUGGAGAGCUUCUAAUAUAAACUGAGAGAUGACAGGCGGCUGCAGGCAGAUGAGGCUGCACAAGGAAACAAGUGGGUAACUGGUUAAGCAGAGAUAGUGUGGUGCAGUAGACAGGGACCCAGAAGACUUGGUUUCUCUCACUGUGUGGCGAUGGUCGCGGCGUCCCGUGCCUCAGUUUCCCUACCUGUAUAAUGAUAUAUACCUGCCUCUGGAGCUUUGUGUUUGACUGAAGGCCACAUGGUGAGUCAAUGGCAGAGCUGGCGAUAGAGCCUGGGAGUCCUGAUCCUCACCAUUGCCCCAUGUUGAGCCAAACUUUGCUCACAGCUGUGGCCCUGUUCGUGUCGAUGGGGCUGCGGUCGGGUGCGUGAAAGCCUAAUGUUGUUGUUCUGCCCUUUUCAGAAGGGAAAAAGGAAGGGUUGGCAGGUAUGAUGGGCAUUAGUAACACCUGUAGCUAGCUGGCAGACUGAGGUGGGUGAUCAGAGGUCAUGUAUCUGUGUUUUAGCUGAUCAGCUGCUAUAGGCAUCAGGAAGGACAAUUGCACCCCAUAUCCUACCUCCCACCGCCUCUGGAAAAGCCUUGCACUGUGGGCUUGGUCCAUUACUGGCUAUUUCCUCUAAAGCAUCAGGUACUGAUGGCUGUGGAAAGCAGGAUACAGGGCUUGAUGGACCAACAGUCUGAUCCGAUCUGACACAUCCUGUGUUCCUCCAUCCGUGGCCACAUCUUCAGGUAAUGGAAAUGUCCGGGGGGGAGAACAAACACCCCAACUUCCAGCCCUGAUCCAUCUAUCCUCUUCCUGAGGAACCAAGAGAGACCACAGCCUCCUGGCAGAGAGAGGGGGAAGCUGCCGAAGUGGAGAGGCUGCCAGGGUGGGGAUCCGUUAAACAGGAAGCUGUUCUCUUGCUAAGAAUAACUUGCUGCCCUGGCUGCCUCUUGCUCACUGGAGCUUCUCCUUGGCUGUGCUAUCGCCUUGUAACCAAGCCAUUAAGGCUCAUGUUUCUGGCCUGCCACAGCAACCCAACAAGCCACCCUGGGGCUUUGGAGCAAAUCCGUCCCGUUUCUGUGUCUGGGGUAGCUGGCAGGCAGCCUGGCUGAGCGUGAGCCAGUGCAUCAGGGAUCUGAUAUAGCACUGGGGAGGAGAGGCCCUAAAUGAACAUAGGCUCCUAAGUCAUAUGCCAGGGGUCACACGCCGCCUCUGGGGCUCUGUGCCAAGGGGGAUCUGCUGGGUUGUGAGCCCAUGGGCGUUCUCCUAGCGGUGUGCCAGGGGGAUGCUCUUGGGCCUUGAUCUGAGGAGAACCUUAGUCGCUGUGUGAAGGUGCCGAGAGGAAUCUCCUGGGCUGUUUGCCUAGCUCAGUCCCUUGGACAGUGUGCUCAGCGGGGUCGCAAGGUAAGAGGGGCCAGUCUCGGCCAUAUCACCAUAGCCAUCGUUAGUCAUUAGCCCUCCACAGUCCACGCCACUCUACCCUCAUGGACACAGGAUCCACCCCACGGUCCUGUCCAGCCUUCCCAGCCAGAACACGCUUCCUCCUGCCUGCCUUCGCCCUGGGUAAGUGCUGCUCCAAACCGCAGACAGGCAUUGGAAUAAGAGACCAGCUGACCUGCUCGGAACUGACGGAAGCCCCAGCCCCACCAGAACUGUGAGUGAACCCUCGCCCUGAGCCCCACGCCUCCCCCUGGGGCUUAAAUGGGGGCUGAUCCCUUUUGGAAACUUGGCCCAUUAUACUUUGCUUCCAGCCUGGAGGGGGGGGUUGGGGUGGGGGUGGUUGUGAUGCUAAAAUCAUUCAUGGCUUUAAAGAGCAGUGAGAGCGUCUGAUGGAAGGUUCAAUAGACAUGCAAAGUGGUUUAAUUGUGUGCGCUGUGCCAGACUCUCGUGCAGUACGAGGCAAUGACAUGGAUACACCGGCUUUUACAAAUGAUAAUCGCCAGAAGAAGUGGGGGGAGGAAAGUAGGGCAUGAAAUGCAGGGGAGUGAGACCAGCGGCUGCAGUGGCACCAUCUAGGAUAUAACAGUGGCUUUCAGUCCUCAGGCUUCAGGGCAUGAACUGAAUCCCAGCUGGGGUCAGGAACAAACUCCCCCGUCGCCUGGAUUGAACUGCACAAUGAGCUGUGUUAUUAGGGGGUUAAUUCCUUCUUUAGAUGCAUCCUGCACUGGCUGCUCUGAGAUGGGGUCUGGGACUAGACACACCGGGGGAUUCCUAUGUCCUUUGGCACUUGGGCCAGGCAGAGUUCUGUAUACGACAAUACCCCGUGUCGGAGGAAAGGAAGCAAGGCUGGUGCUUGGAGAUAGAGAGAGAUGCUCUCUGCUGUCCAAGCUGGGGUCCAGUUAAGAAUUAGUUGGGUUUAUUUAGCUUGCUAGCAGAGCAUGAAUCCACAGUGCCGACGGCCUUGGCCCUAGAGAAGGGGAGUUCUCCCAGCUCUGCACAGAACUGGGCCAAGUGCUCGGUCUUUCCUCCAGCCUGGGUGCUGCCUGGCAGCCUUUACCGAGAUUUACGACCCUUUGGGAUGAGUUAAUCAAGUCCUCGUCAUUCGUUACCUGUGUUAUAGCUGCAUAAACCAGGCUGGCACCUGUGGGUGCACAUGUGGCUCCCUGGUGGGUGAGGCUCCGGAGAGCUACCAGCAGGGACUAGACGGGGGAGCUCUGGGUGCUGCAUGCUGUGUGUGCAGUCAGGUCUGUGGAUGUACACUUCCCUAGGCAGGCUUGACGCUCUACCCACCAAGCCCCACGCUUCUUCCUGACCCCUCACCUCCCAGGAUGGGCUCUUGUCCUGGGUUCUUCAAGGCCCUAUCUGCCCUCUCUUCCUCCUUGCUUGUUGCUAAGGACCCUGCCGCCGCUCACGCUUUGCCUGUGCUGUGUCUGACGUGCAGGCGUGAUCAGGCCGAGAGGUGUCUCUCGUUGAGCUUGGGAGUGGUGAGUUCUCUGGACACCACAUGCCAGGAUCACUGGCCGCACACACGCAUAGCCGGAUAGGGGAUAACAGCAUGGGGGUGUCUGAGGACAGGGCUCUGGCCCGUGCCUUUAUACCCCACCCCGAUUCUUCGCAAUCCGCUCCACCUUUUCCAUCCUCUUUCUCUUCAGCGCUGCCACUUCCCCGGAUGUUAAUGUUAGCGGUAAUUGAUCAUCUCCUGUGCGAUAGCUGUGUGUGUACUGGCAAUGCUGCGGUCCCGCUCCGCCUGCUGCAGAACGGGGUGCAAAGGGCAGCGUCAGACCUGGCUUUUCAGAUGGUUGUUUCUGUGCCUGUGCUGCUAGGCAGCAUCCUUGCAUCGCUAUUCCUGAAAAGGCAGCACAGUCUCUCCUUCAAGGGGCAGCUGGUAUUUUAGGCAGGAGGCAGCUACCAUGAUUAAAGAUCCUAAUCUCCAGGUCUCCCAACAUAGAGGCAACCCAGCCCCCUAUCCGCUUUUUCCCUUCCUUGGGUUCUCUGUGCCACCAGCUCACAGAUCCAUGACGAUGGAAUGAGCAGCGGGUUAAUGCGCUGGCCCCACCGGUUCUUGAGAACUAGGUUCAAACCCUGAUGGGGACACAAGUGACAUGAGUCUGGCCCAGUCUCUGCCUUGUUCGUGUUUUUGCACAUCUCAGAAAGCACCAGUGAUUGGCAGUUUUUGUUGGGCAAGGGCCCAGGAAUGGAGGCUGCAGGGCAGGAGCGUGCUGCAUUCAUAGAGCCGGGGGCUGCAGAUCAGAACUGGGCUACACCGACAGGGCUGCAUGUGGGAGCCCUGGGCUGCAAUAUCAGGGGGCGCUGCAGGCUAGCACUGAAAUGCAUUGGCAGAGCCGUGUACGGGUGCGCUGGAAGGGGAUAGCAGGAGGCGCUGUGGGUCAUGAGCAUUAAGCAGCCAUGUAGGCCAAGUCUCUGUGAGCCUCUGCAGUGCUCUGCUGAGGAGCUGGUAGCAUCUCAAUAGGUGUCAAUAGACACACACCAGCUCUAUUUAUAACUCUGACAACAGGCCAAAGCUACUUGGCUGGGGGAGCUAAUCCCUUACACUGCUCGCCUUUGUCUCCCUCUCCCCGGCUGCUUCCGCCCGGCGGAUGCACACGCUUCCCAUUCUGGUGCAGCACCCGGAGGCAGAACCCCAGCACAGAGGGCACUUGUGGGGCAAUAGCUCGGGUUGUCUGCCAAAUGGCUACUACUGGCCAUGCACAGUGCAAGCCGUCCCCUUUCCCUAGUGUCCUGCCCCUGACGUGGUGACCAGUGGGGCUGCCUAGAUGGUAAAACCGUGUGGCCCUGAAGGUGCAGGUGAAGGAUGGCCUGGUGGUUGGAGUGCAGGCUGGGGAUGUGGGAGACCAGGGCUCUACCACAGCUGGCUUGUAUGACUUAGCCUCUCUGUGCCUCUGUUGUUUAUCUGUACAAUGGGGAUAACAGCACUACCCUGCUUCCCAGGGGUGUUGUGAGGCUACAGACAUUAGACUGGGGGGAAGGGGCUCAGAUACUGCAGCGAUGGAGGCCAGAUACGUACCGUAGAUGGUAUGUAUGUACAUGCAACACAAAGGGGGGUAUGUGGACAGACGUUUGCAUGGCUAGGCUAGGGUCCGAGGGCCAGCAUGCCCCUCCCCUCAGUGGUUCUGAGAGCCAGCCCGCCCCCCUCUGCUUCGGUGCUUAAUUUGCAAUGAAAGAGGUGCUGGGGCUCAAGCAAGCGUUCUACAUCCAUAACUGAUGCAGCGAGCCCAGAGAUGCCGGGGCUGUGAACUGCCAAGCCGAGACGUGCCGGGGUUCAGCCCUGCAAGCCCUGGCACGAAUUAAGCACGGCUGUGCUCCCCGGAGGCUAUGGAUAAAUCUGAACCCUGACACAAGGCUGGUGAUUUGGAAGGAGUGAACGGAAGCCCAUGGGAAGUGUCCAUGCUCCGCUUCUCGGGAUGGGAAUGGGUCUGUGUGUGUGUUUCUCCCUCCAGUAGCCGUCCUGCCAAUGCAGAAACACGGGUUGUUCCUGGCAACCGUUAGGAAUGUGUUAGCAUCUGGCUGGGGAGGGAUGCUGCCAUUGAAGAGCCAUGUACUUGUGUAAUGGGGCAGCUGCCUGCCCUGCCCAGAGCUGGGGAACAAGGAGAGGGGUGUGAGGCCCCUGCUGGAAGGUAUCCAAGGAUCAGGAAUACAUGCUUCUGGGGCAGGGUGGGUCUUUCAGGGGCGCGCUCGGCUACUGUGCUGAUUUAACAGCCUCCGGGCACCGUCCUGAGCAAUGAAUCUGGGUCAUGACAUUCGGCGAGCAAAUCGGAGAGCCCGGGUCUCCUUAGAACCAGGGCUAACGCCGCCAGGGAAAUGCACAGCGCAGCUCCCCGCUUCCCGCCUGCUUAUUAUUCCGGGCAAGUAGAGCACAGUGCACAAGUUAUGAACACUGCAGCAUUGGAAAGUUCCCCUUCGAAUGCAGCCCCCUCAAUGGGCCUGCGCCCAGCAGCACAUUCCCUGCACACCCUCCCAGCCCUCCCGCCCAUGAGACACCAAAAGGCUUGCGGGAUGGAUAUACAGGUGGCCAGGCAAGCUAAGGUUAGGUACGCAGGUGGGAGUGCAGUUGAGUGAUGCCUGCAGGCUAUGGUGGGCUCACAGCCCAGCUGGUUGGGAUUGGGGUGGUGGGUGGGGGAGACCCUGUAAGCUCCAUGCCCAGCUGGUGGGGAGUUUAGGGCUGGUGUAUGUAGGGGGGAGGAGAGGACCUGGAGUUAGGAGAGGGGAUCUGGUGGGCUCAGAGCCCUUGGCUAGGGUCCAGGGUAGCUGGUGGCCGAGUGCCCAGCUGGCAGAGCAGCGAGUGGCUGUUCGUGUCUCACCCCGCUGGAGCAGAAUGGCUCUGUUUUAAACACCAUAUUCCCCAAGCAUUUAAGAUACCCCCGCGCCCCCCCACACACAACGCACAUCCUGGCAUGAUUUGGAAACAGUACCUAGCUCCUGUGCUCUUAUUUGGUUCCAAGCCCACGUCAGAGGCAGCAGCUGGGCUGGAGAACAGACCUAGAGAGGCGAGGCAGGUGUGAAAUCAAGAAAAGAUGGUGUCAGCGCUUGCAUCCCAUCCGCCAGCUAAUCUCUGCCCCCCCCACACCAGCCAGUCUUAGGGAUGACAUCACAGCUACAAGGGGCUCAGAACUGGAUUUUUCUAAUUAGCAGGGAAGCGCUGCAUUGCAUGAUUCAAGGACUUCUGAGGGUCUCAGCCACUCUUGGUUUUUUUUUCCUUCCCUUUUGCAUCAGCUGCCUGAGUCCUCAGUGAUGACCUAUAUCUGUAGCCAGUCCUGUCACACAAGGCACCUGAGUAAUAACUUUUCCCUUCUGUCCAAGGAUCAACAAACACUCUUAACACAUGCUAAAUACUAAGCCUUGAAUCUCCACACCAGGCGAAAAUUAACUGAGGCACAGGGAGGUGAAGUGACUUGCCCAAGGUGGCACAGUGAGCCAGUGGCAGAACUGAACAUUGAGCCUAGGACUCCUGAUUCCCGUUCCCCUGCUCUAACCACUAAAGAAUGCUCCCUCCUUGAGCUGAGAACCCAUCCCAGCAAUGCUGACUCUCCUCUCCUCCUCUGUUCAAAACACUAGAGCGCACUCGCUCCAAGAGCGAUGGACUCUGGUUUCCUAACACCCAGGCCCCUACUCUAACCACAAUCACGUCCUCCCCUCUUGGAGACAAGACCAGAGCCAUGAUUGGGAUUUCCACUCCCUGGCUCUGUCUGCGUCAUCACACUUCGCUUCCCCCUGCCCUGCAUGCGGCUGAGGAACAUGGAGGAUAGAACUGGGUGGCUUUGUGCUGCAGGGUUUCCAAGUUGCCCUCUAGAUCUGAGCUGGGGGAAGUUUGCACCCUCAAAAUGUUGGCCAGGAACAAGGUUCAUUUAAAUCCCAGUGGGAUCCACCUGAUUUCACAGCAAAGCUCCAAGCUGGGUCAGCUUUGCCCAAGGAGUGAGGAUGGAGUCUGGGACAAAACUCUCAACAGGCAAAUAUCUGGUGCUUUAUACACCACUUUCUUUGGGCUAUCCACCCCUCCGAGCAAAGUUGACGCUGCCAAAGUGGGCUCCGUGGGGCAGGCUUGGCCCAGGUUCCAGGAACUGUGGGAGGGACCCAGUGGGUCUUGCCCAUUCUAGAAGCAGACUGUGGGCUUCUGCCCAGCUCAGUGGGUCUGGGUUCCCCUCUGCAGCAGAGGUAGAGAUGGUGAUGGAACAGCCAGCAGUGGGGAACCUCCCUGUGCUUGGCUUUAUGUACAGGAGCAUAUGUGUGCCUAUCUGCUCCAUGCCUUCUGUUUAUCCGCUUCCUUCCAGUUAACGUAUGUUUCCACUGCUGUCCAUCUGUCUCGCGCGCUCUCUCCAUCUCUUACUUUCUCUUUGCUUCGCUCUCUUCCAUGCACCGGCAGGAAUCCCUGGGCCUGAUUCCACAGCUGCCGCUGCAGCCAAUGGCAGUCACUAGCGCCCCGAGGCAGCGGAAUUGGGCUCUCCUGGCUUGCUGUAAUGUAUCAAGCUGUUCAGCCGGUAAUAGCCUUGAAUCGCUCUGGGAUGGAUGUUGCUGGCCUUCCCCAUGCAGACUCUAGCUGACAAAGGGCAGGUGCUGAGAGCCCACGGCCCAGUGAGGAAGGGAACUCGGAUGAAUGGGGAUGUCAGAAAUGUGGGUUUGGGGGUGGCGGGAGGUUAGAAAUCUGUUCUUUCUGAUAUUGAUGGGUUUCUCGUAUUGCUCUGGGGUGCCCUGGUCCCCUGCCCCCUGGUGCUCCACCACUGCCCUCUUGUUUUUGUGGUGCCUGUCCCCCUUGGCCUUCAGUGUCCCACCCACAAUUCUGGAGCAUCGAUUCCGAGCUCCCAAGCAAAGAUCCCGAGUCUCUGGCUGAGAUUGGAGUGAAGACCCGGGAACAGAGAUCCAAGUUUGGGAUGAGGGAUCUGUGUCUGGGGUGGUGGGAGUGGAGAGAAGCCAGGCAGACCAUGGCUGCGCAUUCCUCCUGGAUCCAUUCGUGUCCCAAGGUUCUUCAGGAUGAUCAUGACAUGGCUGCUGCGAGCCCAACCACAGGCCCAUCCUGCUUCUGCGUGGAGAACAUGCCUUGCCGCCUCCCUCAUCCUCUGGGCUCAGAUACUCCACGGCUGUCGCUGUGGUGCCCUAGAGAAGGAUGCCCUGCAUCUAUCCACGGAGCGGGUACAGCAUGGGGAAUAGCAGGUCAAGUCUUCCCUCACCAGUGUCCCUUCAGCGGGCAUCAGCUCAGAGCAGGACGGUCCGCCUGGAGUGACAGCGAGGGAGGUCAGGGUCCAGGAGCCACUUUGCUCGUGGCGCAUCUGCUGAGCCUGCCCACAAGGUGCCUCAUCGUUGCCAGCUGAGCUGGUGGGUUUUUGUGAUGUGGACGCCUGUCCACGGGGAAUGCGACCGGGACCCCGUGAGUAAUUGCACAUAGGUGUCUGGAGAGGCAGUAGGCACGGGGAGGAGUGUUAGGAGAUGGCAUGAGCGAGACGUAUGGAGGAACUAGGAGCUGUGACAAGCAUGGUUUGAGAGGAACGAUCUCCAGGAUAAGGAGCGGUAGGUGUGAGCCAGUGCAGUGAGUGCAGAAGAACAGGGGGAGAUGUGAUUGGAGGGACAGGGAGAGUGGUAGCCUGGAGCAACUGGUAUGUAGCUAGAAAGACAGUUACAUGAGUUAACAUGGUGUACAAGGAGCACGGUCGGGGGGAGGAGAGGCAGGGCGGGUAUGGGGUAUGUAUGACAUGGUCAGGGGCUAGCUACAAGCUUGCAGAGCACAAGAUGGGGUCAGGACGGUGACAGCGGGGCAUCCCAUCUCUAGCCCCCUUGGCAAGGCAGACACCACCUCUCUGAGCUCUGGCCACGGCACAGUAGGCCAUUCCCUGGGUGCUGAAGCAGGCCCUAGGGAAGGAAGCAGCUGCCUUUGGCAGGCUAUGGAGAGACAGCAGCCAGGCUGUGGGCCCAUUCUGCGCCAGUGGGUCUGUGAUACAAGUGGCAGGGAGAGGUGGAUUCAAAUGCAAGGCUGUUUCUCUCUGGCUGGUGGUUGGGUACUGGCUAACAGACACUGCCUCUGGGUGGCAGAGACUGUUGUAAGUCUCUUGGCAUGUGUCAGAACAGCUUUCCCUGCAUCCUCAUCAAUUACAUGGCAGCACCUCAGCAAGUGGCUUCAUUGCCAGGGGAGAGGAGUUCCCCACAGCCUCCCUUAAGGGGAACGAUUACUGCCACUCUUCACGCUGUCUCCUCCUCCAUCGGUCACUUCCCUUGCUCCCCCCUCUCUGCCUCUCCUCCAUCUAAUUUGUCUUCUGCUUCCCUUUGUCUCUCCUCCACUUUCUCCUCUCCAUUUCUCUCUCCUCCAUUCGGUCCCUUUCCCUGCUGAGAUGGGAGGCUGCAGCCCCUCCUUGGGUCAGACCGAGGUUGCUGGGCUAAUUGGAGCUGGCUGCUUGUUUCAGAGGCAGGUGCACAAUUCCUCUGACUCUCUGCUCUCAUUGUGCUGACUGGGAAGGGCUGUCUGUCAGCACUGCAGGGAUGGGGUCACCCAGCUCUUGGCUAGAAGGCAGAGCUGGCCCCUUGCUAUGGACAGCUCUGACAGCAUCCCAUUCCUUAGACCCAGCUCCUCAGUCAGCCUGGCCCUUGCGUCUGCUCCCUGAACUUUAACCUAGUCAAUUAACUCAUUUGCUUCUGGUCCUUCAGUGCGCCUGCUGUGCUGCCAGCACCCAUUAGCCAAGCAGCAAGGAUCUGGGAAAUCAGAACACACUCAGCUAUGCAGCAGGGUCUUUCUCCUGGCUGAUUCCAGUGCUUAGAGUGCAAGCUCCUUCGGGCAGGGACCAUCUUUUUGUUCUGUGUUUGCACAGCACCUGGCACCCUGGAGUUCUAGGUGCUUUUGUAAUACUACUCCUGAUGAUGCAGCCAGCCACACAGUAUGGGCCUUUCCCCUGGCACACCUUGGAUGCUCAGCAGCAGCCCAGGGGAGAAGGAAAACCUAUCACAGGGAAGAGAAUCUCAGGUCUGUCCCCUGCUCUCCCAUCAGAUGUCUGGGGCUUUGUCCAUCUGUUUGGCUAGCAAAAAACCCAUGGGUGCCUCCUUGAGAGAGGGAUGCCAGUGUCCAGCUCUGUUGGAACCCACCAGGGUGACUGACUGGACCAAAUACACCUAUCUGGGUUGGCUGGAAUAACCCUCGCUAUACACCGAGGCACGAGAGAGGUGCUGAAUUCGCCCUCCUCGCUUUCUUUGGCUCCCUGUCCCCAGGGCCUGCUGCUGCACCAAGCUAAUAUUGACAUUUUCCAGUCCUUACAUUUGCUCCAGCCUGAUGGGUUUGUUAAAUAUUUCAGGAGCCCCUGAGCGCCCCCCCCUUUGUUCGCUUGAUGUUGUCAUUCUCCUGUCUCUUCCACACAGUAUUUGCUUUCAGGAUUUAUCUUAACUGUAACAAUCAAAGGGGGGGAAAUACCCCGUCCCCCCGCAGUUCCUCUGCCGCUCCACCCCGAGCACAGCACUGAUGGAUGCCCUGACGUCUCCGUGAGGCACAAAGGCUCAGAAUGCUCUAUUCAAAAGGCACCUGCUUUUCUUGCAGGCUCACAACGCCCUUUGUGGCUGCCGCCUCCCACUUCUCAAGGUUUUAUUUAUAGUCUGUCUUGCUCUCGCUUUCUCUCCGGCACAGCUGAGCUGCUGAACUCUUAAUAUCUUGGAAAUGCUUCUCUAUCCGCUGAGCUAUGCUCAGGCAUUGGAAAGGUAGCAGCUAAAAGGGGGGCGGAAAAUCACCUCAGGAACUGCCAAGGGUCCUCACUAGCACCGCUGAUUGCUUCAGCUGUCUGCCCAGUGCUCAUGGGAGCUGGUGGGGGGAGUCUCAGCCCUGCCACUGCCUCAUCGCUGGUCACCUCUCUGAUCCAGGGCACGUCUGAGCUGAUUCCACUAGAGCUGCAUGCAUCUAUGCUGAGCUCAGGAGUGGCGUCAUCCGUGUCACAGGGAUGAAGACAGAUUCUCCCCAGGAGACUGGCUCAGAUCCCCCAUGCUACUUAGGUGCCUAAUUCCCAUUGAUGUCAGUGGGAGUUAGGUGCCUCGGUACCUUUGAGGAUCUGGGCCAGUGGGGAUGAUGCUAGGUUGAUGGUUCUACUGGCCCGGCAUUGGAUGGUGCAGGAGAGCAAAUCCACUUAUCACCUCGGAGAAGUUGGGCCCUUACAGGUUAGGGGUGGGGAAUUAGAGCCUGAAUCUUCUUCUCAGCCAUCAAUGUGAGUCUUCCAGGCAAAGGCCAGUAGCUAGGCUGCAUCGCAGAUGAGGCUUCGUCUUUCUCUCAGCAUUGGGUGCUUCUCUCUCCUACAGGUUUAGACAGUGCCCCUAAAGCCCCCUGUGCAGGCAGCAGUCCCAGCCGUGAGAGCAGAGUUCAGCCCAGGCCUGCCGCAGGGGAGAUGCGAGGCAGCACAGGCUGCGUUGUUUGGCAGGCCGGCCAGAGAGAACCUGCGGGUCUGGCUGUAACGCCCCAUGCUUCCUCCAUGAAAUCGAUUCCCAAGAGGUGCUACUCACUCCUCCUGCCUGGAGAGGACUGAAUGCUCCUUCCCCAGGGAAUCUGGGCUAGUCCCUCCCUAGCUGGUGGAAGGGAGGAGCUGCUGCAGGGAAGCAGCCCUCUGACUUGUUCAUUACCUCUGACUUGUUCGUUUGUCCCAAUAGCUCUUUCACACUGCAGCUAUCCUUUUGUAGCCAAAAUAGAAGUACAGUGUAUGUGCUCAAAGGAAAUUUUAUAAGGAGUCUGAAGAACAAAACACUGAAUAUAAAGAAGGGGGUGAGGCUGGGGCAGGGGAGAAAGGGAAACCAGGGGACCAGGGAGUCUGGCAGGGACAGUGUGGAAGGAGCAAAUCAAAGCUAUAGGAGCAGAAGGGGUGAAAUAUGAGAGUGGAGGAGUGUGAUGAACUCAAUGGCAGAAGGGAAUGGGAUACAAUAGCACCUGGAGAAAUGACCCCACCAGGCAGUGUGGUGAGAAAAUCCAUUGGAAUUGAAUAACAACACCUAGUUCUUAUCCAUAGAUCUCAAAGCACUUCCCAAAGGAGGCCAGUAGCAUUAUCCUCAUGUUACAGAUGGGAAAGCUGAGACACAGGCGAGUGAAAGACUUGCCCCAAGUCACGUAGCAAACCAAUGGCAGAGCCAGGAAUUGAGUCCAAUGCUCCCAGGUCCCAGUCCAGUGAUCUGUCCACUAGGCCAUACUGCCUCCCUUUGGUACAAAUGCUUUGUGGUCCUUAGCACUAAAGGCUCAUGGGAAUCUCUGUGAGCAUAAAUUCCCUCUUUUCUUGAGGAUGUGUUAGCUAGCAGCUGCAGGAGCAUCGCUUUGGGAUCCACAUUGAUACUCUGCCACUGUGUCUAAGAGAACAUGAAAGGCUUGGACGUUACAGCUCAGCCGAUUUUAACUUGGCUUCCUUUCAAGCAUAUUAAUGACUUCAUUAGGCUCUGUCAUAGAAAUUCCUGUGUGCUUAUUGCCCACCUAUUAUUUGAGAAGCCUCAGUAUUCUCUGUUGCCUAGGUCCCUUGGUAUUUCUCGCCUCGCUGGUCAGUUUCCUUGUGCUGCAAUAAAGUUAAAGCUGAACAAAACCCUAUCUGGGCUGGCCCUAAUCCUUACACACAGCAGGCUGCCACCGGCUGGAGCGGGGAUCUCGAUUUGUUUGUAAUCUUUAAAGGUGUAAGUCAGCCAUG